UACAGGGGGGGCAAGCGUUGUUCGGAAUUACUGGGCGUAAAGGGUCUGUAGGUGGCCAACUAAGUCAGACGUGAAAUCCCUCAGCUUAACUGGGGAACUGCGUCUGAUACUGGAUGGCUCGAGUGUGGGAGAGGAAUGCGGAAUUCCAGGUGUAGCGGUGAAAUGCGUAGAUAUCUGGAGGAACACCGGUGGCGAAGGCGGCAUCCUGGACCAACACUGACGCUGAUGAGCGAAAGCCAGGGGAGCAAACGGG
rnacentral:rRNA from 1 species